CAACAUCCAAACUUGCAACGAUUUGAAGACUUGGCUCUUAAUUAGAUCAGAAUGAGUUUAAGGCCGGUCACGCUUUGUAGCACAACAACAAAUUACAGUGCAAACAACAUAACAGCCAUCAAGUAGAAUAUGCAAACAGGAUGGCAAGGAUUUGACAGCAAAUACUAAUCAUAUGAGGAAGGGAAAUCAAAAUCAACAAACACUUCCGAGAAGAAUCCUGACUUGUCAUGGAGGUUUUAUAUAAGUAUUAGUUAAAUAAGCCAAAUGCAUCAAGACACACUUAGAUUUUUUUGGUUUAUCCUUUAAAAAACAAAACAGCAUUAACUUGUUUUUUUCUGCAUUCAGUACAAGCUGAAGUCGGGUUAGUUUGGACUUAACCCCUCUAGAUCCACUAUCCCAACAGGUCUAAUAUGAGUAUCUCAUAUAUGUAUGAUAAGUAUAUAUUUCCGCUAAAGUAAAAAAAAUGUAACUAUCCAUUCAACUUCUAAACUGCAUGCAAGCACAGAUAAAAUUGAUCAGUUUGUUACCAUGAUAAACUAAGUGAAUUAUUUUACUACUUUAUUUUUGGAACAGUUCAAAAUUUUAUACAUGACCAGUCUCGUCAGGUCAGGCAGAAAGCUCAUUUUUAAAGCCUCUCUUCAUAUAAUUUAGUAGGAUUUCCAACGAAGGGCCGCCUCACAGCAAGAAGGUUCUGGGUUUGAUUCCUGGAGGCGGCCCUGGUUCCUUUCUGUGUGGAGUUUGCACAGUCCCAAAUUGACAAAUUAUAGGGUUGCCAAGUCAAGAGGCACUGGAUGGGAAAGAAAUGCUCAGUUAACUGAUUUGUUAGCUGAUUUGGUGUUGUUCAGCAGGUUGCCAUCUGAGGAAUUUGAUGCCACUAAGGACAGUCGCCUCUGGCAGCACCUACUGUAGGGUACAGUACAUGUUCCAUCACCACUGUAGAAGCCCCAAACAUGUUUUUGCGUGUUUGUGCUACUCCUUCUGUUCUUUAGGGAGAUGCAUCUUAAACAGUCGUAGUUUUGGCUUAAAGAAGCCUGAGGUUAGCUACAGCUUUAAGAUGUGAAUAACUCCCAGUGUUUAUAAGCUGAUACCUCUCAUUCGACCCUAUGUUAUCAGUAAUUUAGAUUAUAAAUGGUUGCGUAAAAAAAAAGAUUGACUCCAGGCAGCGGUUGCAACAAUGAGGUCAUGUAAGCAAAAUUAAGUCUUAAAUGGACUAAACUAUUAUAAACUAACUAACACAAGUCUGUGGGAUAAUAUGCAUUAAAAAUACCAACAUUGACUCAGUUGACCCAAGGAUGCGAGCUAAGUCAUUCAGAAACCCGACAGAGGCCUUCAACUCAUCCUGGCACUCAAGUGAAGCUUUGGCGUGAGAGGAAGUGCCAGGGGGAGGAAAAUCACAGUUACACCCCUGAUUCCAAUAAGACUGCCGGCACCAGGGCGUCUGUGCGUGUUUUGUGAGUCAGGUCUGCAGCCGCUGCCAGGA
rnacentral:lncRNA from 1 species